CUUAAUGGUUAUAACCUUAUGAUGUAGAUCUAAUACUAGUGAAAGUUAAAAAAAUGAGACAAAUAUCUUUCGUUUAAAAGUAAAAUGAACGUUUCAACAAUAACAUAUAUCUAGAUGGUAGGUGAAACAUUUUCAUAAAAAGGUACUAACAUUUCUGAAAGUGACUGGGAAGACAAGAAACCUUACGCUCAUUUAUUUGGAAAAAAAAAAUGAAACAUUUGAAUAACAAACUUUAAUUGCAACAUGUGUAAGGCUAUCAUCAACUUUACUAAACAUAUCCUUACAAGGACAAUAUCCCAAUAAAAUGUUUCAUCCGUGCAGUCUGAUCAAGAUCUGCACUGUUCGCCAUCCAGUCAGUACCUUUUAGGUAAGCACCCCUAUAGAAAUUUAGCAGAAUAAGGGUUGAUACUAAGCUUAUGUGAGAAUGCCAGUUGUCAAGACGAAGAACCAUUUUUCCAGGAUUAGGUCUGCCUGUCAUGGUAAAAUGUUGUGUGAAUGUGUAAAAGUUUUCCAGCUGGUUUGCCUGAUAUUUUGCCCGAGGUUUUCUGUCAAUACACAAAAGAUAUACGACCUCUCGAUAUAUAUGGCGUGUGUCAUUACUCCAGAUAAUGAACCUUGCCCUCAUCAACAUCGAAAUGCGCAAUGAAUAAUGAAAACAAAAUUAGUGACAUACUCUCAACCAGCAGCUGAACGAUAAUCGUUAUGUAUACACAAGCGUGUUAUUAUAAGGGAGAUUAUGUUUACCUGUGCUUAUCACCGUGACGUUAAAUGUAUUAGACUGGGCUACAAUACGUCGCUAAUUGUCAUGUAUCUUUGAUUUUUACUGACAUUUCUCUUUAUUAGAGCAAGUAAUUUAUCUCAGACAUUAAUUAAUCACAUGAAACAUGCAAGAGAAACGUUCCUCGACCAAACCAACAAGCCCAGAUCAAAUAAUCGAGGAUCUGGGUGGUUGUGGCAGGUUUCAGGUAUUCAUGGGUAUUACAGUCCAUCUCACAAAGACGCUCAUAAGUUUCAGUGUAAUGAGCACGAUUAUGUUAACCGCUACUCCUCCGAAAUGGUGGUGUGCUAAUGAUAAAGUGAAGUUUAAUAAAACAUCGUGCUCAGUGGAUGCCAAUGCAACAUGUCCUGAAAAGACGUGUUUUAUGAAUGAUACCAAGUGUGAAACAUUUGAAUUUGCCGGUGUUAGAACAUUAGUGUCUGAGUUCAGCCUUCUGUGUGACCUUGACUACAUUCCAAGUACAGUGAUGUCACUACAGGCUUCCGGUAUGCUUGUAGGAAGUCUCAUAGCGGGGCAGGUAUCCGAUACCUUUGGAAGAAAACCCAUAUACUUCGCUGGAAUACUCAUGGUUGUUGUAUUCAAUUUCGUUGGUUUUAUGUCAACAAACUGGAUAAUGUUUUCUGUAUCACGAUUUUUCAUAGGAUUUGGUGCAGGGGAUUUCAUCAGCGUUCAGCACUGCAUUUUAUCUGAAAUUAUGCUAGCAAAAUGGCGACCAUGGAUUACUGGCUUUCCUUCUUGGCCAAUCCAGGUCUGUGCUUUGGCAUUUAUAUCAUGGUUAAUAAAAGACUGGCGCUAUAUACAACUUUUCUGUUGUUUACUUGGGAUACCGUUCUUGUUCACUUGGUUCAUCAUACCAGAAAGCUUCCGUUGGUUUGUUGCCCAUGAUCGUCUUGCCGAUGCUAAAAACAUAAUAGAACGAUGGGCAAAGAUGAACCGAAAACCUGUUCCUGAGCUUGAUAACAUAAUGGUAUGUGACGAUUCAGAAACGAAAGAAUCAGAGAAAAAAUACACAUUCAUUCAUCUGUUCAAAUCGAAAGCUCUUACAAAAAUCACACUUUUGUUGGCAAUUAAUUGGCUGGCUUUGGGCAUGGUGUUUUACGCAAUUACGUUUGGAAUCCAAGCUCUCUCUGGAAAUAUUUACUUGAACUUGUUCCUGUUCAGUCUGGCGGGGAUACCCACUAAAGUUGUAGCCCUUUGGUUGCAAAACAGGUUGGGAAGGCGAAUUUCAAACGUGUUGUGCUUUAUUCUUGUUGCUGCCAGUGGCUUUAUUGUUGGAGUUGUACAGAGUAUAGUGUGGGCAUCAACACAGCCUGGGGACCUGUACAGACUAUGACUAUUGAAGUGUAUCCAACCGUUGUCAGAAAUAUAGGAAUGGGUUCAAUGAAUGUCAUGGCACGUGUAGGCGCAAUUGUGGGACCUCAGCUUGUUUAUUUGAAUGCCCACGUACCCGGAUUGAUGUACUAUGUGUGUGGAGUAAUAGGCGUUUUGUGCAU
rnacentral:misc_RNA from 1 species